rnacentral:rRNA from 1 species
AUUGAACGCUGGCGGCAUGCCUUACACAUGCAAGUCGAACGGCAGCACGGGAGCAAUCCUGGUGGCGAGUGGCGAACGGGUGAGUAAUAUAUCGGAACGUGCCCAGUAGUGGGGGAUAACUGCUCGAAAGAGCAGCUAAUACCGCAUACGACCUGAGGGUGAAAGGGGGGGAUCGCAAGACCUCUCGCUAUUGGAGCGGCCGAUACCAGAUUAGCUAGUUGGUGGGGUAAAGGCCUACCAAGGCAACGAUCUGGAGUUGGUCUGAGAGGACGACCGGCCACACGGGGGAUGGGACGCGGCCCCGGCUCCGACGGGAGGCAGAAGUGGGCAAUUUUGGACAAUGGGCGCGAGCCUGAUCCAGCAAUGCCGCGUGCAGGAAGAAGGCCUUCGGGUUGUAAACUGCUUUUGUCAGGGAAGAAAUCCUCUAGGUUAAUACCCUUGGGGGGAUGACGGUGCCUGAAGAAUAAGCACCGGCUAACUACGUGCCAGCAGCCGCCGUAAGAC